rnacentral:rRNA from 1 species
GAACGUGGCGGGUGCUUACACAUGCAGUCGAAGAGAACGGUUUAGCUGCUAAUACUGUCAGCUAAGUGGCGCACGGGUGAGUAAUAUAUAGGUAAUGUGCCUUGAAGAAGGGGAUAACAGUUGGAAACGACUGCUAAUAGCCUAUAUGCCUUUAAUACAUAAGUAUGCAAGGGAAAUAUUUAUAGCUUCAAGAUCGGCCUGUACAGUAUCAGUUAGUUGGUGAGGUAAUGGCUCACCAAGACAAUGACGCUUAACUGGUUUGAGAGGAUGAUCAGUCACACUGGAACUGAGACACGGUCCAGACUCCUACGGGAGGCAGCAGUGGGGAAUAUUGCACAAUGGGGGAAACCCUGAUGCAGCAACGCCGCGUGGAGGAUGACACAUUUCGGUGCGUAAACUCCUUUUAUAUAGGAAGAUAAUGACGGUACUAUAUGAAUAAGCGCCGGCUAACUCCGUGCCAGCAGCCGCGGUAAUACGGAGGGCGCAAGCGUUACUCGGAAUCACUGGGCGUAAAGAGCGUGUAGGCGGAUAAAUAAGUUUGAAGUGAAAUCCUAUAGCUCAACUUAUAGAACUGCUUUGAAAACUGUUUGUCUAGAAUAUGGGAGAGGUACGAUGGAAUUCUGGGGUCGGGGUAAAACCGCGACAACCGAACGAAUCCCGAUUGGAACGGCGAACUAUGGGAACAUAUUGAGCGCGAAAACGCAAAACGUGGGGAGAACCGGAUUAUA